UACGGGGGGGGGCUAGCGUUGUUCGGAAUUACUGGGCGUAAAGGGCGCGUAGGCGGCCCUCUAAGUCGGACGUGAAAUCCCUCGGCUCAACCGGGGAACUGCGUCCGAUACUGGAGGGCUUGAAUCCGGGAGAGGGAUGUGGAAUUCCAGGUGUAGCGGUGAAAUGCGUAGAUAUCUGGAGGAACACCGGUGGCGAAGGCGGCAUCCUGGACCGGUAUUGACGCUGAGGCGCGAAAGCUAGGGUAGCAAACGGG
rnacentral:rRNA from 1 species